UACGUAGGGUGCAAGCGUUUAAUCGGAAUUACUGGGCGUAAAGCGUGCGCAGGCGGUUCUAUAAGACAGAUGUGAAAUCCCCGGGCUCAACCUGGGAACUGCAUUUGUGACUGUAGAGCUGGAGUGCGGCAGAGGGGGAUGGAAUUCCGCGUGUAGCAGUGAAAUGCGUAGAUAUGCGGAGGAACACCGAUGGCGAAGGCAAUCCCCUGGGCCUGCACUGACGCUCAUGCACGAAAGCGUGGGGAGCAAACAGG
rnacentral:rRNA from 1 species